CUCGCACCGCCCGCUGCUGCUGCCCCUCCGGAGCCCGCGCGAAGCGGGGAAGGUCGGGCCGGCGGGCGUCUGUCGCUCCGGUAUCCCCGGCGGGGGAAACUAGGAGAAGCGGCGAUUGCUGCCGGGCGGAAAGCAUCUCUCUCGCCCUGCCAAAGCAGCGCGGCCUGCCGCUGCCUCCGUUACUUACACGUUGGCUUGAAAACAUACAUCUAAAAGCUCUACUGAAAAGCAAAACAAGACACACAGCUAUUUAAAACACACAGAUUGCUGCUGGAGAUUGCCUACGAAGAACCUGCCCGUUGAAAGUGCUGUUUCUUGAAAGCCAGUGCACUCUGCAAGAACAUUUAAAGCUGCCGUAACCAUUAGGAUUCAGAAGUACACCCAGAAACACAUGAAUAGGACAAGAGACCGUGUUAACACAACAGACUGUUCCUGUGCUCCUCAGCCUAUCCAACCUAUAUACUGGCAGCAGAGCAAGCAGAUGCCACACCAGCCGUCUUCCUUCCACUUCAGCUGUUAAAUCAAUGUUUAUUAGUCGUGAAUUCUGGCAACAGAAUUCACUAUACACUAUAGAACAGUGUUUUAAGAAAAUCCAUCUAUUCUUUUUUAAAAAGGAAUAAGGGUUCAGCUCUUUAGGUCUGCCUUAUGAUUGUGGAAGUAAGCAGCCCGGUGGUGUUGGCUGCUCUGAGGCUUGAAGGUGCUAACACUAGCAGCUUGUGGUUUCCCUUAGAGUAACACUGGGGGUGUUUUAGCACACCUGCUUUCUCUUCCCUCUCCCUGACCUGUACAUGAAAAUACAGGUAUGACAAAAAGAAGCACCAUUAAUAAAGUAGAUACAGCUUGAGAGGCUGAAUGAAUUUCUGGCUUCACUGCAGUAGGGAAUACUUUCCCAGUUUUAAAUGAGGCUGGAAUCUAGCACACUGGAGUGAAACACAAAUCAAUGCACCGAAUGGGUACAUUUUCGUCCAUCACUCCAGAACCUCUCCUGGCACACAGAAAGCAGACCUUGCCUUAUCAGUAUUUUGUAAAGUACUGUUGCUAUGUGUGUGUUUGUGUGUGAGAGAGAGGGACAGAAAACUGCAAUGAUUUCAAGACUUUUUAAGGUCUGAGAGAACCUAAGUCUAUCCCUAAUCUCUUAAACACAACCCUGAUCUCAGCACUGCCACUGAUCUCAGCAGCCAUGCCCAGUCUUCCUGGGCCAAAUGCAGCUGUUGGAAGUACCACCCGAAAGAAUAAAACAUCUCUCAAGAAUAAAUUGCAAGGAUCACAAUAAUGGGCUGUGAAAUGAAGAGUGAGGUAAGUUUUCAAGUAUUUUUUGUCUUAUUCUGAUAUUCACAGGAUCUGACAGAAACUAAUUUCCAGCAACUAUAUUUCUCUGCUUAUUUGUACACCUGUGCUUGAAAGUAUUUUCCCUGGUAUUUAAAUCCAGGGGAAAAAAUACCUUAUAAUACCUAAAUAGUUAUACCACUGCCAUUAAUCCCUGACACUUUAGUACUUUGAUUCCUUGGCAACAAUGUUGAUGAGAUCAUUAGUUAAAAUACUGCUAGUAAAGGUAAAAGGACAUUUUAUAUCUCCCUCUCUUACAAGUAAGGGAUCAGGCUGGAUCUACCUACUACCAUUUCCAACUACGGCUGUUUAUUACAGUUUAUACAGUUACACUUUUCAUUUGUUCCUGUUCAAAAGCAUUUACAGCUUUUAAUUUGGAAUUGUUCAACAUACUUUUUGAACCCCAAAACUUCUCCAGGAAGUGACUACUUAAUUGCCUGAACACCAUUAGGAACAAUAUUUAUGUCUCUCCAACUUGAGCUUUUGUUUAUGCCCUGUUGACAGAAAUGGCACAAGGGUCUGAGCACAUACAGCAGUUAACUGUCACUGAAAAUUCAAUAUAAAAAAAGAGAACAUUGAAAUCCACACAGCAUGGAAAUUGUUUUUACAUUCUCAGUUGUGAUUCUGCACAAGGAGACUGCAGGAUUUUAUACACUUUUAUUGCUGGAAAUCGUACACCUGCAAAAAUUAACUAUUACAUGUAUUUCUCAAGUAUCCUAUUAAAAACUUGUCUUGGAGAAUAGGAGUUUGGGCUUUAACCACUAGAACUCUGCUUUAUAUACAAACGCUGAAGUACUCCACUCCCAGAAUUAUAGGUGUAAGAAAAUCAAGCAAUCAUUUGACAUUACAUCUAACUCCAACAGACACUUGACAGCUGAAGUGCUCAAGCACUUACUGGCAUGUCAUCUCCUACCGGGGUGCAGCUCACAAGGUUUCCCUCAUGCUUUACUGAGGAAAAUCUUCAAGUCAAAUGUUCAAUCGAAUUAUCAAGCUGCAGCAUUAGAGAUUUUGCACAAUCUACUGGGCCUGUAAAUGUAGCUUGUGACAGUACUUUAUUUUACAUCUUGUAACUCCAAAUAAAAAUUGUGAGCUAUUUGAAGGCAGGAUCCAAAGUAUCUGAAUGACCAGACUCUUGGGGCAAACAACUAUGCUGUCUCUUGGUCUGUUAGCCUGGCCAGGUGAUAGCACUUCAACACCAUAAUGAAUACAUACACCUCAUCCUCCAGACAGAAUGAUUUGCAGCCCUUUUACUACGUCACUUCUUUGUUAAGUCUCUGUUCACAUAAGUUUCUGCUAUUUGUAAAGGGCUCUAAAGAGAAAAUCCAGAUCUGCAGUUGUAGUGGAAGUUUUGAGACUAUAUGACGUCAUGUAGACGUGAAUCAAUGUAUCAAUGCAGCUGCUCCUCAGUCAUAUAACCUGUGAGAUUGAUCACUCAGUACGUGAAACUGCUGGAUGCACAGUGAUUCUCAAAAAAAGCUUGAGAACAAACUGUAUCAAACAUCACAGUGGAACACCAUCUUCAGACUAAAAACAGGCAGUAAAACAUGAGUGAAAUGAGGACACCACAUACAAAAUCAUGGCAUACACUGAAAACACCACCAACUACUAAAUGGCAUGAGCAUUGCUGAAGGUAAAAACACUCCAAACAAUGCAGUGAAGAGCUGUGUGGCAUUAAACCACAUAGCACACAAAGGACUCUUGGAAGAAUCAGUAUGAUCUGUUUUUGGUGGGACAUUAGUACACCAUGUGUGUGCUAUAAAUAAAUACAAAAUAUUGAAAUUUUCCUCUGCAAGAAAGACACUUAAAAAUCAGUUCAUAGUUUUUUUCAAUUUAUGAUACUUAUAUGAGAAAGCCAAAGUGCUGACUAGCCUCUGUAUUAGGAAUAUUACUGUGUAGUCUUGCUUGGAGAUCUUUUUUCUUUCUUUGAGGUUUCCCAUUAAGAGCUCUUUAGGGCUAUUAGUUCUGUUACCAAACAGAGUUCAAGUGAAAUAUCUUUAUCCGCUUUAAAUCAUAUACCCAUUUUUAAAAUUGGAACAUGUUAACUUAAACAAUUUUUUUUAAGGUUAGGUCCUCAAUGCAAUUGUAUUUAAAGUCUACAUUGUGUCAGUCUAAUUGAUAGGUACACAUUAGAUAAAUAAUUUACAUGUGGAAUCACUGCAUGGGAAGAUACAGAGGAAGGACUCCAAGACUCCUGCACUUCAAAAAAUGAAAAGAAAUGCUCAUCAUCUGCUUUUAAUAAAGAAAGCUAUUGAUUGAACCAAGACAUACAGCUAGUACUUCACCACCAUCUAUAAUCUGCAUACUUAACAUAAAAUGUUGCUGAAUAUGGCUAUUGAUAGGAAUUUAGAGCCUAUCAAUGUAGUUAUUUACAGAUGAUUGCAUGGAGGCAAUGCAGGGGAAUAUUUUUUAAAAAUUUCUAGAUUGCUUCUGAAGUUUGGAGACCAUGUCUCUCCUCCCGAAGUUUAACUCUUCUCAUUGUGCACAGAAGGGAUCAAAUCUCACCUGAAAUUUCACCUGUGUACCUAGGAACAAGAAUCCCAAGGACUGAUCCCCGGGAGAGGGGCCAGCUUGCAAAGAACUGAUGACAUCAAUGUUAUUUACUUUCUGAACUCCCUAACAUGCUGGUCACAUCCAAAGUGCCCACCAGAAAUGGUACCUUGCCAGCUCCUGAACAGGCCAAAAUCUGUGCCAGCAACUGUUCUAACAACCAACUGUACAGAUGACUGAGCUACAGUGUCCCAGAAAAUUUCCUGGCACUACCAAGUCUAGUGACACAGAUGUAGUGUGACAGGCAUAACAUUAAGCCUUUAACAUACUCAUUUUGGUCUCAGCCAAAAAUGCAAUUCAUCUUUUUUUAACCACCUAUUUUAGGAUGAAACAAUCUUUCAAUUAGCUUUUGUUGCUCUAACUCUGACUAAAAGAGGCAUCUGACAUCUCACAGCAUUGUGGCUAUUAAACCAAGAGCAAAGCAUGGAUUUUUAAGAUGUUUAGCCUUGGAAGCAUAUUAAAUAUAGUACUAACAAAACUGAAGCAUGAUCUUUGCAAAUAAAUAACGUAUUUUACGUUUUCUUGUCAAGUGCUUUUCUUCUCUUGAUGAUCCAAUACAAAACAAGGUUGAAAACUCUUAUUUUUUAAUGCACACUGAAUUUUAUAGCAUCUUGUAACAGUAAUAAUCCUCAUGAAAAACCCUGGAGUUAAAGGAAUUUUUGCUUCCCCUUUUUUUUCCUCACUCCCAAGAUGAAGAUGUUGUAGUAUGAUAAUACCUUGAAUAACCUUUGUAUAAUAUCCCUGAAGAGUAACUGAGACUUCAGGGUAGUAAAGAAUAAUGUAAGCCAAAAAGCUGUGCAAACAGGCAGAAUUUGACUUGUGAAAUGAGCAUGACUAGCAACAACUGGUAAACAUAAACUGCUUUGGAGUUUGAAGAAUGGAUGUAUGGAUUUCCAACACCUCCACAUGAAUUUACUGUGCGUCAGCACAUUCAAGAUUAAGUUGUGGGGAUAAUUAACAUAGACAUAGCUUCCAUUAAGGUUUUAACAGUAGUUUUCCAAGACUUUAAAGUCCUGGAAAUGAUGGCAAUUGCUCAGUAUGCACAUAGGCGGCACAACUAUGUAUUUUAUCAUUUCACUCUUGAGGUAACUUUAGUUUCAUUUAGCUCCUUCAGGUUUCCAUGGGCAUUUAGGACUAGUUCAAGCUACCAACUACAAAUCUAGCACUAAUGGUAGUUCCUAAACCAUUAUAGUAAUUCAUAAAAAUAGUGCCUCACAGUUUAAAGGGUUUGCAUCUUGUGAUUAUUAACUUGAAACGGGGUAACUGAAUUUUGCAUAGCAUUAUUUUUUAGUAUCAGGAUGUUGUGAAAUACUAGGUCUUUCAUAAAAACAGUGUAAUGACUUCCCUUUCCAAAACUUAUUUCUCAGUCUGAGAAUUUUUUUCAAUUUGCCUUUUCUGUUAAUUCAAUUACAUUAAAUCAAGUGAAUUAAACUAUGUUACAAAUAUUGGCAGUUCAGUAUAGUGUAUCAGUAUAGUAAAAUAUUGGUUGAACACAAUACUCUGAGUAAAUCUAGACUUUUGUUUUGUUUAUUUUGUACAACUCUCACUGAUCUGUCCAAGAGUCAGCUCUUACUUUCAUACCCUUUUUCUCCCACUCUAGCAACAGAAGUUACUUAAAUGACACAGUCAGCACUUUUGGUCAAGGCACACCAAAUGCAGACAACACAGCUCAUGUUAUAGUUGGGCUUCUGAUGUUUCCAAUUUACUGGAAAUCUUCUUCUCAAAGAGAUAAGCAUUUCAGGAUCAUCUCUGAUUUUAAAAGCUGUAACUGUCCCUUUUUAAAAUAGGAGAUUUAACAUAUCUUUUGCAAAUUCUACAAGCAAUGUACUGGGAAUCACUUAUUUGUUCACUUGACAAAUCAUCUACUUGACACAUUUGCAGUCUAGUUUGUUACUUAAGGAAACGAACAAAGAAAAUUUCUGCCACCUAAAGGUCACACUUCAGCUCCAGACAGAAAGAGUCCAUGGUCCUUAAAGAGCUACCCGAGGUAAGUACUAACCACCUCCCUGAUGGAAGUGGAGUGGCAAAAGGGGAGGAAGUGGCAAAAAGGAGGACUUCUCUCUGUAAAGAAGGUACAGAAGUUACAUAGGGGAAUUAGCAGAACUGGAGCUGCCAGUCAUUAAAAGUAACAGAAUAAAGGCAACCACUUAGGAGCAGUGAGGAAACAGAAAGCAAGGGCUGGAUCAGGUAAGCCCUUACUGUAUACUGGUAAACUAGAGGCCAGAACAAUUACUUGGGGUUGGAGAAAAAUUAAGAGUAGAAAAAUGCUGAAGCAAACAAUAACAAGUAAGUAUUGUUCAGGGAACAAGUGGCAUCUUAGAUUAAUGAAUGAUUCAAAGCUUCAUGAUUUGUUUAUCCAGGUCCAAAAAUGCAUGUGGUAAAGAAGGAAAUCCAGACCAUUACUGUGGUUUUUAGAUUAUUGGAUUAUCACAUUUUGAGGAAUUGAGGCAAACUAUUUUUUAAAUUCAACUUCAGAGGAUAAAAAAAUACUUAUAGAUUCAGCAUAAAUGACAUUCUAUAAUUAGUUGGCAGAUAGAACAACCUACAGUUCUUCUUCAAGAUCUUAAUGUGCUUUUACUUUUUAAAAUCAAAACACAACGCCCCCAAUACAUUCACACACACACCCCCCAACCUUCUUGCAUCACUUCUGAAAAGCACAUUUGCAGUUUAUCAGUAGUUUCAUUUGUUAAGAUCAAGUGAGGUGAAAGGCACCAAUAGAACAUUCUUUAAAGAGAACCAGACUAGUAGCUUAUCUUAGGUAAACAACUGUCACACGGGAGAACAAACAACUUAUAUUUGUAAGGCCAGCAUGUGGACAUACUACAAAAAAGAUUGAAAAAGCCCUCGAUAAAACUAUGCAAAUAACUUUGUCCUUGUGUACCCUCUAGUGGCUGCCCAGGUUGUGCUGGCCCCACAGUAACAAAGCAGGAAAUUCCCUCAACCAGACAAAAUCAGAGUGCUUCCCUCUGCAACGGCUCUUCUAAAUAUAUGAAGACUUGUGAGAUUAGGGUUCUGAGCUGGCAAAAGUAUAUUAUUUGGAGUUUUAAGUUUACAACAAAUUCUGCCUUGUUAGUUUAAUGAAGUGAACCCAAGUUUUCCACUGAUAUAUCAAGCAGACGAUACAUCACGCAGCAAGAUGCAUCAAGCUAUUCACAUAGCAAUCAUUCAGGGCACGUACCUGCAUAACUGUGGUAUAUGUGCAUGCUGCACGCAAACUGCAGCAACGUCAGUAAAUUAAGCUGGGUAUUACUCUUCCAGAAGUCCUCUGAGGUGGGGAAAAAGUCCAAUACACAGGUUGCAGACACUACCUAAGAGCCAUUUCUGUAUGGAAUAGCAGUUCAAGAUUAUUGAAAAAACCUGCUUUAAACUAGAACUGGCUGUUUUGUCUGUAUGUGCUGAACUGGAUUAUGUCAGAGAGAAAAACUGUCAUCCAGCAUAAGAACAUUCUGCAAGCACACAACUAAUGUUUAAUUUGUUUCAUCUUAAACAAACAUAAAAGACCGUACAACAGACAUUUCAAAUAACUCCACUAAAAAUCUCCACUCCUCGCACCCAAACUCUCCAAUACAUAAAAGCAAACGUCAGCACCCUAGUCAAGGUACCAAGUUCUCUCCAUAAUGAAAAAAAACUCAACUCAAUCCUCACUGCUAUGAUUUGGCAAAAGAAUAUAAAUUGCAUUCUACACAGCUAGUGAAAUGUGAAAAUUAACAACAGUCAAAAAGUGAAUAUACAGAGUUUUUAGCACCUCAUAUCUACUUAUUCAUGAACUCUAGAUGCUACAGCUAGUCGCAUCAUUCAGUUAAAGAUGCAAGUCAUUAAAUAGCGUCAGAAGAAACACCCUGAAAACUGCUAAGUGUUGACCCUUUAACAAAUCACUACACAAUUUGUGCAGGAGGGCUAAGACCUCUCCUGAUGCUGUGCCAUUAUAAAUGAGGCACUCACAUUGCCAACAUAAUGAAGGCAAAGGGUAAUUAGACUAUAUACCAAUUCCUAUAUAUUACACGAAAAAAAAUCAAAGCAACUGUCUUGAAAUGAUAUGAGAUAAUGCAC